UACGAAGGGGGCUAGCGUUGCUCGGAAUUACUGGGCGUAAAGGGAGCGUAGGCGGCCUGAUAAGUCGGGGGUGAAAGCCUGUGGCUCAACCACAGAAUUGCCUUCGAUACUGUUGGGCUUGAGACCGGAAGAGGUAAGUGGAACUGCGAGUGUAGAGGUGAAAUUCGUAGAUAUUCGCAAGAACACCAGUGGCGAAGGCGGCUUACUGGUCCGGUUCUGACGCUGAGGCGCGAAAGCGUGGGGAGCAAACAGG
rnacentral:rRNA from 1 species